rnacentral:lncRNA from 1 species
CGCUAGAUUAAAACUGACGUGGAAAGGUAACACAUGGCCAGCGAAAGCUCUUUUUAUGAGAGCCCAGGUGGUCGUGUGGUCUAGCGGGACGGCUGCAGUGCAGGGCGAUUUGGUGUCACGAUAUCACAGUAGCAUGGGUUCGAAUCCCGGCGAGGGAAGAACCAAAAAUUUGCGAAAGCAAAUUUACAGAUCUAACAUUGUUGGGUUGAUGUUUA